rnacentral:rRNA from 1 species
GAUGAACGCUGGCGGCGUGCCUAAUACAUGCAAGUCGAGCGAACGGACGAGAAGCUUGCUUCUCUGAUGUUAGCGGCGGACGGGUGAGUAACACGUGGAUAACCUACCUAUAAGACUGGGAUAACUUCGGGAAACCGGAGCUAAUACCGGAUGAUAUUUUGAACCGCAUGGUUCAAAAGUGAAAGACGGUCUUGCUGUCACUUAUAGAUGGAUCCGCGCUGCAUUAGCUAGUUGGUAAGGUAACGGCUUACCAAGGCAACGAUGCAUAGCCGACCUGAGAGGGUGAUCGGCCACACUGGAACUGAGACACGGUCCAGACUCCUACGGGAGGCAGCAGUAGGGAAUCUUACGCAAUGGGCGAAAGCAUGACGGAGCAACGCCGCGUGAGUGAUGAAGGUCUUCGGAUCGUAAAACUCUGUUAUUAGGGAAGAACAUAUGUGUAAGUAACUGUGCACAUCUUGACGGUACCUAAUCAGAAAGCCACGGCUAACUACGUG